rnacentral:sRNA from 2 species
UUUAGCGGGUCGCCUAAUUCAAAUUCAUCAACAAUCAUGAUUUGAAACGGAGGAACCAAAUAUAUGGGGCUAAUCUUUAAGAAAGACACCUUCCAGUCUUAGCCCGUCAGCUAACUCCGUCGGUAAUGGAAGGAACU